UAGAUUGGGAGCGGGGGCACUCGCCGACGCACACGGAGAGCACUUUUUUUUAGGUGAUUGAGGAGACCUCGUGUGGCUGCGAGCGUACCCCUCCGUCCCCCCGGCUCAGUUUAAUGUGUCACACCGUCGCUGGUCGCCGUCAGCUCGCUGCGAAUUAUUUAUAACCGACAAGAAAAUUGGAUGGGACGCGCUCACACGAGCAAGACAAUCCCGGAAAUAACAUGCGUACUCUCAGCCUGUCACGUACGCUCACUGUGGAUUUGCAUUGCUGUAGGCUGCCGUAGAUACCCGGCACAGCCUCAGCAUGUUUUUAAGACAUAUACAAAUUAUUACGCAGUUUAGGAGGAUUAAAUGAGACUACAGGGUGAAAUCUGAGACAGUAGAAGAGGACUUGGAUAUGAAACUUCUAGCUGUGGCAAAGACCCUCUCCAUCAGAGAAAAGCAGUGGCUCAGCUAGAAAAUGAAGCGAGGACGUGAGCUACGUGCGCAUCCAGCACAUGACGAGAUGAAAUGGAGAGCUUGGGACAUACGGACCUUUUAAACCCAAGCUCUGUCCGCUCUGGGUUCCUUGCUGCAUCACCCUCACAGGAGAUAAAGACGAGCGGGAAGCAGCUCGUCUGUGGACCGGCCGAGAUUCACCACACGUACCGAGCGGACAUGGGGCUGAACGGCUUCUGCGCGGCGCCGGUUGGAAGUCCAACAGCCGCGGAGUUACUCGCAGGUCUGGCCUCUCAGACCGACUCCCCUGCUAUCACAACCCCGACGAAGCAGUGCAAAACCGGAGUACCUCUUUACAACGGCGGGGUGGUGUCUCCAUCUGCCACCGUGGAGGGGAGCCACACAGGCGUAAUGGCUCACACACCAAACGGUCACCCGGCGCAUAUGAAGGGGAUGGCGGGGGUAACGGGCGGCUCUGUGUACCCCCUCUCCAGCAGAGCCUGUCUGACUGAGAAUGGGGACUGGACAGCUCAUGAGAAGUGUCCCUCAGUGAUGAGGAGGAUCAAUGGAAACCUGAAAGCUAGAGAGGUGCAACUACAAAAACGAAGAGGUGGGGAGAACAGGGAUAUGGGUUUGGGGGCUGUUAAUGGACUCAUUGCAGGGUCAGCGGGGUUAGGAAGUUCUGUAGAUAUGGCUUUUGCUUCAGGGGACUCGGAUGUUAAACGGAGACGAUUAACAGAUGGAAGUGUUGCUCAGAAAUCUAUAGAGACCUCCAGAGAGGCGCGAACUGUUGCCCCUCUAACUACCACGGUCAACUGCAGCAACAGUCCCCAAAGCAACCAAAUUACUUUCAAUCAUGUGCACUGUGGCACUCCUCAGUCCCCCUUCACCCCUGCUGCCCCUCAUACUAACCAGCACAAUGGACACAUCGUGGCCUCCUCAGGUCCACCAGCAGCCCCCAGCCAGACCUCUCCCAUUGAGGCCAAUUGCAUCCCAACUCCACCUCCCUCUGCUGAGUCUGGCUGGUCUGCAGAGCGCAUAGCACAGCAGUACAUUGUCCCCUGCAUGAAAUACUACGGCAUCUGUGUGAAGGACAACUUUCUGGGCCCUCAGCUUGGCAACAGCGUCCUGGAGGAGGUGGAGGUCUUAAACCGCAGCGGGAAAUUUCGGGGCGGGCAGCUGGUGAGCCAGAGGAACAUCUCGCCUCGGAGCAUCCGGGGGGACCAGAUCGCUUGGGUGGAGGGACGGGAUCCUGGGUGCAAGGAAAUCGGGGUGCUGAUGGCCCACAUCGAUGAGGCGGUCAUGUACAGUGCUGCCAAUGGACAGCUUGGGGACUGUGUCAUCAACGGACGCACAAAGGCCAUGGUUGCCUGUUACCCAGGGAAUGGGGCAGGGUAUGUCCGCCAUGUUGACAACCCUAACGGUGAUGGACGCUGCAUUACCUGUAUCUAUUAUCUCAACAAGAAUUGGGACGUCAAGAAAGAAGGAGGGCUGCUACAGAUCUACCCUGAAGGCAAGAAUGUGGUAGCCAACAUCGAGCCUCUGUUUGACCGGCUGCUCAUCUUCUGGUCUGACCGCAGGAACCCACACGAAGUCAAGCCAGCCUACGCCACUCGGUUAGUGAUUCUUAAACAUGCCGAGGUCUUGUACGUGCAGUGCUGCCUGGGUUUUGAUAGAGACACCAGGCACACUGCCAGUAUUACCAAUAUUGUAUAUGCUGCACAUGUACAUGUUCUAGAAUUGAACACCACAUUGAUCAUACUGCAUUAAUAAAAAAGAGUUUUUGAAUAAUUUAGCACGCUUUGCAAAAGAAACAAAGUGAAGAGUUAUACAUUUUUAAUUCAAAGCCCAGCAGGUUACAUAUCUAAAGGAUGCACAUAUUAAGAGUUAUCUCUUUGUGUUUCAUCUCCUUCAUUUCACCUCCACUGCACUCCUCAAGUUAAGAACUUGAGGAGUGCAGAGUGUUUGUUUUCUAAAGAAUUUAAGUCAGAUAAAAUGAAAUGACACAGAGUAGAAAACAGUAGAAAGAAGCUCUCAUCUGCUAAACUUUCUUUGAUUCUCAUUUGAGAUAGACCCUCUUAUUACAUAACUUGUAAAUCCUUGCACAUAUACACUUAUUUACAUCAUAGCACCAAAUAGCUGUCCAUUGAGGACACACGACACACUCUCCUCCCGUCUUGUCUCCAUUGGACUGCUGGGGGGCGAGGUGGAGCUGGAGGCAGGAAGUAUGUGUUUCCUGAGGGGGUCGGUGGGAGGGAGAAGGGAGGAAGGUUCGAUUGCAGGGCUCGUGCUGGAGAGGCAGAGACAUGAGAGACAGGAAUAAACAACACAGCCCCACAGGAGAGGCUCAAAACUGAGGAAAUUAACCCUCUACUAUCCCGGACGGUCUGCUGUUCACAUAAUGAGACGUGUCAUACUAGAAUCUCUGCAUUCAUAUGUUUCUCAGGCAAAAGGGAGAGAUUUUUCCCCCAAUUUUUGUCUGAUUUUGAGAGUGAAACCAGAGUCCAACUUUAGAUUAUUGCAUCUUGGUGACUUUAUUCCCCAUGUCACAGCCUUUUCUUAAGGGCUUGUUUUGCUUAAACUUCCCCCACAAAAUUUUCUCUGAAGGUAUACAGAUAAAAUAAAAUAGUCUUGGUGUUAUUAACAUCUCUUUGUCCUUGUCUUGUAGCUAUGCCAUCACAGUCUGGUACUUUGAUGCCAAAGAGAGAGCUGAAGCUAAAGAGAAGUACAGACUGGCAACAGGACAGAAAGGUGUUCAAGUGCCUGUCACUCAAAACAGCAGGACAUAAAACACAUCUAAUCAGUGGAGAGUCUCUGAAAGUAUUACGUGCCUUCCUGAAACACUAAUGGACAUCAUGAUCAUUAAGGGGGACACAUUAAACUGCCUGUUCUUGCCACAGCGACAUGCCACUUCUGCAUAUUCAGCUGUCAAGAGUCGUGUCACGGGCUCUGAUGUCAUGAUUUCCUGCCAUGUGAUUGGGCUGCUGAUGACAGACAUUGGCAGACAGAGAGAGCACAACGGACUGGAUUGUUAAGCAGAGGAAGAUCAGAAUUGCACAACACAGUGACAGAAGAAGAAAAUAAAUCUGACGUCUCACUGAAUCAUGUAUGAAGACAACAAACUGAAAAAACAGACUUUUUAUUUUGGUUGCAGUUUUGACUGUUUGGUUUUUCAGUGGUGUUGUGAUGUAUUGAAAAAGUAGUGUUUCACACUGCUCAAGUGUCAUUUUCAAUUCAAACACAAGGAGCAUAUUUGAUGAAUCAAUGGACUAAUGGUGGGAAAAGGGGCACAAUGAGUUGAAAUCAAGGGUGUUGCCCUAAAAUCCAUAAGUCCCCUUGUCUGUGUUGAUGUCCCCUUGUCUCAUGAUCUGGGCUAUGUGUGUCAGUGUAAAGACAGAGCCACAGAAAAGAAACCGCAUCAAUUGAUUGUUGGCCAAAGUUGUUCCAUGGCACUUAUUCAGACAGUCAUGCAAACAGGCAUGAUGAAAAAUCGACUGUAGACUUACAACAUAAAGCACACUAACUACAGGCCUGAGAGUAUUUAAGACUGUGUUUAAAUAUCUCGCUAAGACUAACAGAUCUAAAAAAAAAAAAGAAACUCAGUGCAACAAAAACACAUUAAAAAAAUUCCAGCAUGGACGUUUCUUGCUUUUUCCCCCUCCUGUAGUUGCAAAGCGUGAAAUGAUUGUGGAAGUGCACCCAGAGUAAACAAAUCUUUCUACAUAUCGGAUGUGAAGUGCUCUCUGUGUGAUCGAAAUGCACACAACACAGACAUGAGACAAGAGACAAGUUGUUCAGUGACAGAGUUCAAAAACAGGGUUUGAUGAAAUAGAGUGUGUGCUUUUUGUGUUCGAGUAUGUGUUUUGUGUGUGUGCGUGUGUGUGUGUGUAUGUGUAUGAACUCCUCGGCUCCUCACUGAUGUAGAUGCAAACAGUGAGUAACAUGGAUGUGGAAAUCGUCGGAUAACCUUCUCAGACACACACAACACAAACACAAACAUCCUAAUACACACAUGCCGGUAAACUGAUAACAAUUUACAAUAUAAAGCACAGAGUUGAGCAUACACUGUAUGUGAACUGCAGGAUCAAACUACCGCCUGCUCAUGUGUGGGAUUGAGUGUGUUAACGUGUACUUGCACAUGUAUGUGACAGCUUACACUGUCUGGAAGAGGGUAGUAGGUAUUGUCUCUGUGUAUUUCAGAUUGAUAAAAGAGAAGGUUAUUUUACAAAGCACUUUAUUGUUUGAAAUGCCAUGUGUGAAUGAUAGAAAUACUAUUACUCAAAAUGUAGAUUAAUGCCUUUAUUCUGUGGAUAAUAUGGUCAUUCAAAUGCAAUAGAAACUAAAACAAUGAGAACAAAUGGAAAUGAUUUGCCUAUUUUCUUUUUUUUUAUUCUGGAGUAUUUAAUUAAAAUGUUUCUGUUUCCUACACAGAUAUCGUAGUUGAUUUCAUGGGGAUAAAUUGGAGCUAAAUUCCAGUGAAAAAAAUCUGUCCAGUCAGUUGCUGCAAGACGAAUCAAAAUAAAACUCCUUUACAAAGUA